GUAGGGAUAGCUCAGUGGUAGAGUGCAUGCUUAGCACGCACCAGGUCUUGGGUUCUCCCCCAAUACCUCCA
rnacentral:tRNA from 1 species